rnacentral:lncRNA from 1 species
CUGUGUAUAUAUAUAUAUAUAUAUAUAUAUAUGAGCAUAUAUAUAUGCUCAAAUAGCACCUGGUUCAUUAUGAUUAGUGGAUUUUUUUUAUCGUAGCAGUUAGAAAACAAGCUUUCCACAACCCCAACCGUUUCAGCAGAGAGCCAUUAUACAGAGUCAUCAGAAACCAGCCUCCACCGGUGCUCUCUAUCAACUUGGACCAUAAUCCAUAUAAAUGUGGCGUUCCUGGCUGUGCAAAGUCUUUCCGGAAAGCAAAACUCCUGCACUAUCAUAUGAAGUACUACCAUGGAGAUGAUCGUCUGAUAGAACCUAACCAGACCAGGGCAAUGGACAAACACACCACACUUAAUAAUCAGGAUAGCUCUAAGAAGAGGUGCAUUACAUCACAUGAGUGUGCGCAGAUGUCUGUGAAGAGACUCUCUCUAGCGCCCCCUGUUGUCAGUGCACAGAAUUACCAACGGUGGCCAUCACUGAAGGACAAGACCAGAGAGAAUCAGCUAGACAGCAACAUGCAUAGAUACUUCAACAAGGAAAGAGAGAGGAGGUUUAUGGAAAUGGAAGGUGUGAAGGAGCGUGACAGGCUAAAAGAGAAACAGACUAGAGACUUUCUGCGAAUUAAGUUAAAGGAAAAGAAAAAAAUGAGAAAAACCACAUCAGGUGAAGAAAGUUUU